rnacentral:rRNA from 1 species
UGGGGAAUAUUGGACAAUGGGCGAAAGCCUGAUCCAGCCAUGCCGCGUGUGUGAAGAAGGCCUUUUGGUUGUAAAGCACUUUAAGUGGGGAGGAAAAGCUUAUGGUUAAUACCCAUAAGCCCUGACGUUACCCACAGAAUAAGCACCGGCUAACUCUGUGCCAGCAGCCGCGGUAAUACAGAGGGUGCAAGCGUUAAUCGGAAUUACUGGGCGUAAAGCGCGCGUAGGUGGUUAUUUAAGUCAGAUGUGAAAGCCCCGGGCUUAACCUGGGAACUGCAUCUGAUACUGGAUAACUAGAGUAGGUGAGAGGGGAGUAGAAUUCCAGGUGUAGCGGUGAAAUGCGUAGAGAUCUGGAGGAAUACCGAUGGCGAAGGCAGCUCCCUGGCAUCAUACUGACACUGAGGUGCGAAAGCGUGGGUAGCAAACAGGAUUAGAUACCCUGGUAGUCCACGCCGUAAACGAUGUCUACCAGUCAUUGGGUCUUUUAAAGACUUAGUGACGCAGUUAACGCAAUAAGUAGACCGCCUGGGGAGUACGGCCGCAAGGUUA